rfam:Schistosoma margrebowiei strain Zambia genome assembly, scaffold: SMRZ_scaffold0003258
AUCCAGCUGACGAGUACCAAAUAAGACGAAACGCGCGUCAAAAUGGAU